CAUUGAUGCAUCUGAAGAAGACUCCUCCCUUGGGAGACUCGUUAAUGAUGAUCACUAAAGACUCAAUCUCAAAAUGAAGGCCAUACAAGCAAACGAUGAGCCACACUUGUGCCUCUUCGCGACUCGAGAUAUUGCAGCUGGCGAAGAGUUGACUUAUAGUUACGGUGAUUCAGACUGGCCAUGGAGAACACAGGUCAUCAAAACUGAAUUGUCGUCCAGCCCAAAACCUGCUCAUUGACGCGUUGCAGAAUGACAACUCCCAACCCUUUCAGAACAGCAUGGACACGGAUGGAUCAGAUUCCAACUUGAAAGAAGAUGCGGAGACCGUGUCUGUGUCUUCCAGCCCCAAACCCACGCUCAAACAAAUGCUUGGAUAUGAUUCUGAAGACUCAAUCAGCAGCAUCGAAAUAACAGAAGAUGAGUAUGCGCCAGGAACAGAAAGUGAAAGUGAGAGCAGUUUAGAGAAAUGUAAUGCAUUGAAGGACAAAUGCCUCACUACAGCCAGAUCUGCACCUAAAUAUGGCCGUCUUGACAAAGGCAUAGUUGGAUAUGACCCUGAAGACUCAAUCAGCAGUAUAGAAAUAACAGAUGAUGAAUAUGUGACCUUAUUUGCCUACCGUCUGUAAGCAGUUAGUGUUCAUUAGUUGUUUAUGGUUCAUUGAACAAGCAUGGGAAAGUGUUUAAACCUUUAACAAUGAAGUUCUGUGAAGUUAUUUGGAUUUUACGAAUUAUCUUUGAAAGACAGGGUCUUGAAAGAGGGACAUUUAUUUUUUUGCUGAGUUUAUAUAGUACUAGAACAGUGACAAAGCCAUUUGUUCCUUGUAAGUAGGGGUGUAACGGUUCACCAAACCCACUGUUCACAAUGUUUUGGGGUGACGGUUCAAUUUUUCCGGUACAGCGGAAAAAUAAAAUGCCAUUACAAUGUUCAGCGUUCACAAUGUUCCCGGGAUUGUAUGUUGUGAAAGGAUUGUUAUGUUGGGUCUCAAGUUUCCACUCUGAUGCUGCGUUUGUAACCAUGUGGGAGGUGGGAAUUGACCAGUUGUCUUAAAUCCUAUUUGGAUGCUUUCAUGUCAUUUCAUUUUAUUGAUAAACGGCGAUUGGCUAAUGGCCAACAACUGCAUCAACCAUAAACUAAAAGUACAGCUAUCAAUCUUGUAAACAAAUUAUAGAGUUCAAAAACAGAUAGCUUUUUAUAAAUAAUGUUUUGUUGCAUUUAACUGCCAAAAAUGCCUUUUAUAAAAAACAUUUUCUUAGUAGGUGACGUCAGAGGUCACCAUGUGGUAGAAGUGGGAGCUCAGGAUGAUGAGUUUAGUAAUUACCAGUUAGAGGUCACCAUGUGGUAGAAGUGGGAGCUCAGGAUGAUGAGUUUAGUAAUUACCAGUUAGAGGUCACCAUGUGGUAGAAGUGGGAGCUCAGGAUGAUGAGUUUAGUAAUUACCAGUCAGAGGUCACCAUGUGGUAGAAGUGGGAGCUCAGGAUGAUGAGUUUCCCCUAAUGAUUACUAGUUAGAGGGCCUUUUCAAGUGGAUUUUUCCCAGUGUUAUGUAAUAAAUUGCCACUUCCCACUUGGUAACAAAUGCACCAUGUUAUUGCCUCCUUCAGUGCCUCAUAAAUGAGGCUUGUCUGUAGCACGUUACAUCUCCCACUCUGGGGUAAUGUGAAAGCCUUGCCCCCACUAAGCCAUGUGUCCUAAAUCAUUUCCCAGUGUGUCUUGACUUUUCUAGUGAACUGUAGCAUUACCACCCAUGACUGUAUCUGUUAGUGACAGAGACAGUUGUUGAAUUCGUUCAUUUUCAGGACUGUGGCCUUAACCAAGUUAGUUCCGAGGCAUGUAGUAUAUUCAAAGUAUUUGACAAUACAUUGCAUAUCUCUGAAUGUACAUUUGAUAUUUUUGUACUCCAGGGAACUAUACUGUACCCUUAUUUCUACGUGUCUGUAUGCCUGCCCGCCCGUCUGUCCCUCUUCCUGCCUGCCCGCCUCCCUGUUUGUUUGAUUUUGUAAAUAAA